rnacentral:rRNA from 1 species
AUUGAACGCUGGCGGCAGGCCUAACACAUGCAAGUCGAACGAGCGGCGGACGGGUGAGUAAUGUCUGGGAAACUGCCCGAUGGAGGGGGAUAACUACUGGAAACGGUAGCUAAUACCGCAUACCAUCGGAUGUGCCCAGAUGGGAUUAGCUAGUCGGUGGGGUAACGGCUAACCUAGGCGACGAUCCCUAGCUGGUCUGAGAGGACGACCAGCCCCACUGGAACUGAGACACGGUCCAGACUCCUACGGGAGGCAGCAGGGGGGAAUAUUGCACAAUGGGCGCAAGCCUGAUGCAGCCAUGCCGCGUGUAUGAAGAAGGCCUUCGGGUUGUAAAGUACUUUCAGCGGGGAGGCGUUACCCGCAGAAGAAGCACCGGCUAACUCCGUGCCAGCAGCCGCGGUAAUUC